GGAAGCUUGCUCUGUGACUGGAGGGGAUCCGCCGCCAUCUCAGGUCUUUCGGAUUUCUGGGGUCAGUAGAGAAAACUGACUAGGUCCUGUAAUACUUAUGGAAGACCAAUCUUGUGCAUCCGGGAGAUCCACACUUCCACUGGGAAGCAGGCAGGAAGCCAAGCCACCAAAAAAACGCUGCCUCCUGGCUCCGCGGUGGGAUUAUCCAGAAGGAACUCCCAAUGCGGGUACUACCACUCUCCUCUCUGCACCUCCUGCAUCAGCCGGUCUGAAGUCGCACCCUCCUCCUCCGGAAAAGUAAUGAAAUACAUAGGGUUUUCUACCCUAAAUCAGAAUUCUGCAGUGAAUCCAUCUGGGCCUGGACUCUUCUUUGUAGAUGUUUGAGGUGAAGCAUCAGGUUGUUUGCAUGUAUCUGUUCUGUUUUCCUGAUGUAGAAACUCAGUGCAAUAAUUUUUCCUCUGAGGACUGCUUUCAUUGCGUCUCACUGAUUCUGUUUCCUCUAGGUUUGUUGGAAAUUGCCGCCUAUGCCCUCAGCUCCUAGGACUGAAUGGACCUUUCUUAGUGUGGUUGAGUCAGACCCGCAAGGCCUCCUGUGCCACCUCCGGUCUCCCAGGAAGGUGGAAGGCUCCAAAUCACUGUGGAUCUAAUCAGCAUGAUUUCUUCUGCUGAAUUUGGAUGAAUUAUAGUACAUGAGCAAGAUCAGGUUGUAGACUUUUAGGAAUGAAGACCAUGACCUGUAUCAUGCUGAGCCCACCAAACCAAAUAAUGCUCAUGUGAUGAUCCUGCAACAGCCAACCAGUGGAUCACACCAAGUCCUUGCUGUAUAAUUUAAGAUUCCAUGAAUCCAUCAAGUUCCCAAUAAAUUUCGUCUCAUUGCUUUGUUAGA